UUCCCUACGGGAGGCAGCAGUGGGGAAUAUUGCACAAUGGGGGAAACCCUGAUGCAGCAACGCCGCGUGAGUGAAGAAGUCAUUCGUGAUGUAAAGCUCUAUCAGCAGGGAAGAAAAUGACGGUACCUGAGUAAGAAGCCCCGGCUAACUACGUGCCAGCAGCCGCGGUAAUACGUAGGGGGCAAGCGUUAUCCGGAUUUACUGGGUGUAAAGGGAGCGUAGACGGCGCGGCAAGUCUGUAGUGAAAGGCAGGGGCUUAACCCCUGAACUGCUUUGGUAACUGCCAUGC
rnacentral:rRNA from 1 species